rnacentral:rRNA from 1 species
GAGUUUGAUCAUGGCUCAGAUUGAACGCUGGCGGCGUGCUUAACACAUGCAAGUCAAGGGGGCCCGCAAGGGCAACCGGCGAACGGGUGCGUAACACGUGAGCAACCUGCCUUAGUGUGGGGAAUAGCCGGCCCAACGGCCGGGUAAUACCGCAUACGAUUCUUGGGGGGAGUCCCCUGGGAAGGAAACCUUCGGGGCACUGAGAGGGGCUCGCGGCCUAUCAGCUAGUUGGCGAGGUAACGGCUCACCAAGGCGACGACGGGUAGCUGGUCUGAGAGGAUGGCCAGCCACAUUGGGACUGAGAGACGGCCCAGACUCCUACGGGAGGCAGCAGUGGGGAAUCUUGCGCAAUGGUCGAAAGACUGACGCAGCGACGCCGCGUGUGGGAGGAAGCCUUUCGGGGUGUAAACCACUGUUGCCCGGGACGAACAGCUCUUUUCGAGGAGCCUGACGGUACCGGGUGAGGAAGCACCGGCUAACUCCGUGCCAGCCGCCGCGGU